ACGUAGGAGGCAAGCGUUAUCCGGAGUUACUGGGCGUAAAGCGCGCGCAGGCGGUGCGUUAAGUGUAUUGUCAAAGACACAGGCUCAACCUGGGGCAGGCAAUACAGACUGACGGACUGGAGGCAGCUAGAGGGACGUGGAAUUCGGGGUGUAGCGGUGAAAUGUGUAGAGAUCCCGAGGAACACCAGCGGUGAAGACGGCGUCCUGGGGCUGACCUGACGCUGAGGCGCGAAGGCGUGGGGAGCGAACGG
rnacentral:rRNA from 1 species